rnacentral:rRNA from 1 species
UCCGUUGGUGAACCAGCGGAGGGAUCAUUACCGAGUUUACAACUCCCAAACCCAAUGUGAACCAUACCAAACUGUUGCCUCGGCGGGGUCACGCCCCGGGUGCGUCGCAGCCCCGGAACCAGGCGCCCGCCGGAGGGACCAACCAAACUCUUUUCUGUAGUCCCCUCGCGGACGUUAUUUCUUACAGCUCUGAGCAAAAAUUCAAAAUGAAUCAAAACUUUCAACAACGGAUCUCUUGGUUCUGGCAUCGAUGAAGAACGCAGCGAAAUGCGAUAAGUAAUGUGAAUUGCAGAAUUCAGUGAAUCAUCGAAUCUUUGAACGCACAUUGCGCCCGCCAGUAUUCUGGCGGGCAUGCCUGUCCGAGCGUCAUUUCAACCCUCGAACCCCUCCGGGGGGUCGGCGUUGGGGACCUCGGGAGCCCCUAAGACGGGAUCCCGGCCCCGAAAUACAGUGGCGGUCUCGCCGCAGCCUCUCCUGCGCAGUAGUUUGCACAACUCGCACCGGGAGCGCGGCGCGUCCACGUCCGUAAAACACCCAACUUCUGAAAUGUUGACCUCGGAUCAGGUAGGAAUACCCGCUGAACUUAAGCAUAUCAAUAAGCG